UCGAGAAUUUUUCUCAAUGGGCGAAAGCCUGAAGGAGCGACGCCGCGUGGAGGAUGAAGGUCUUCGGAUUGUAAACUCCUGUCAUUCGAGAACAAGGCCUGCGGAGUAACUGCCGUCAGGCUCGAUAGUAUCGAAAGAGGAAGGGACGGCUAACUCUGUGCCAGCAGCCGCGGUAAUACAGAGGUCCCAAGCGUUGUUCGGAUUCAUUGGGCGUAAAGGGUGCGUAGGUGGCAUGGUAAGUCGGGUGUGAAAUCCCGGGGCUCAACCCCGGAACUGCACUCGAUACUGCCGUGCUCGAGUACUGGAGAGGAGACUGGAAUUUACGGUGUAGCAGUGAAAUGCGUAGAUAUCGUAAGGAAGACCGGUGGCGAAGGCUAGUCUCUGGACAGUUACUGACACUGAGGCACGAAGGCCAGGGGAGCAAACGG
rnacentral:rRNA from 1 species